UACCGAGUGCGGGCCCCUCGGGGCCCAACCUCCCACCCGUGUUGCCCGAACCUAUGUUGCCUCGGCGGGCCCCGCGCCCGCCGACGGCCCCCCUGAACGCUGUCUGAAGUUGCAGUCUGAGACCUAUAACGAAAUUAGUUAAAACUUUCAACAACGGAUCUCUUGGUUCCGGCAUCGAUGAAGAACGCAGCGAAAUGCGAUAACUAAUGUGAAUUGCAGAAUUCAGUGAAUCAUCGAGUCUUUGAACGCACAUUGCGCCCUCUGGUAUUCCGGAGGGCAUGCCUGUCCGAGCGUCAUUGCUGCCCUCAAGCCCGGCUUGUGUGUUGGGCCCCGUCCCCCCCGCCGGGGGGACGGGCCCGAAAGGCAGCGGCGGCACCGCGUCCGGUCCUCGAGCGUAUGGGGCUUCGUCACCCGCUCUAGUAGGCCCGGCCGGCGCCAGCCGACCCCCAACCUUUAAUUAUCUCAGGUUGACCUCGGAUCAGGUAGGGAUACCCGCUGAACUUAAGCAUAUCA
rnacentral:rRNA from 1 species